rnacentral:lncRNA from 1 species
GCUCAUAAAUACAGAGUUCUCAUGAUUCUAGUGUUGACAAAGCAAUAAGUAAAAGCAGGCACUUGUGCAUCUGGAAUGAGGUUUAACCCUGUCUCAGGAGACAUAAGACAAUAUAGUCAUGCUAUGUUCCUGUUGUUCACCAUUUUCAUGCAUGUUGUGUGCAGUACGUAUACAUACAUGCAGGCUUUGUUUUUGUUGUCCUCAGCUGCCUCUGCAAGCCCUUUUGCUGGACGCCAUGGAAGGCCCUCCACUCGAAAGUGUGCACCUUAGACUACACGCUCAUCAAUACCAAUUUCUCUGUCCUUCUCGGCAUGAUUGUAGUGUCAUAUAAUAGUGAGG